UAUAUACACGUCAAAUAUUACUGCCCACUACACAGUCUCUGUCCAUCGUGGUUCCGUCCCAGUUACGACCCGGGAAGGCAGGGCUCCUGAUCCAGGGUCCUGAUCUGGGGCCAGGGUUUGUGACCAGCUGCUUCAGAGGUCCAGUCUCUCCUACCAGCAACACGAUAUCAGCAGGUCCUCAUGGACUGCAGACUGUGUAAACACAAAUUGUACAGAAGAGCAUAUAAAGGUUUAUAUAGGAAAUUCUUCACUGUACAAACAUAAACAUAUUAUAAAAUGUUAAUCACAGUUAAGCCCACCUCUAACACCAUGAUUUGAGUACUUAACAAUAUGGAGCCAUUGGAGUUAAUUAUUUAAAAAAUGUCCUUACGUGAAUGAAGUAUAAUGUUUUGCUCGACUGUGACAAGGGAAACUCCGUCCCUGCAAUGAUACAAAAAUAACCAAGUCAGUCAGCACAGAGUGUGGGAAAUGUGGGGGCCAUGCAGGCUACACGUAGCCAGCUACAGUAUGUGUGUGGAAAACAUUUAAUCACAGGUAAUGUAUUAUAUGGAGCUAUACACCUUUAAUGCUAGUCCAUAACUCCAUUGUGUUUAACAGCCAAUCAGUGUCAGUCUUGAGGUUUAAGGUCAAGGGGAUAUGUGUGUUAAUAGUGUUAAUAGUUACCAUGCUUCAGUCCAUGUAAUUGCAGAUGACAUGAUAAUUGCAGCAGCCACCAAAGAAGAGCAUGACCACAUUCUACAGCAGGUGAUGGGCAGAGCUAUCCCUCUGAACAUGAAGGUCUAUGCUGACAAGAUGCAAUCCAUGGCAGGCAUUCUAUCUCAUACUGACUGGAACUAUACGCUAUACAUGGGCCGAAUGGUCUCUCUCCUGUUUGGAUCUUCAGGUGCCUCUUCAGCUGGUGCUGGUGGGAGAACCUCUUCUCACACUGGGGGCAGCUGUAGGGUUUCUCCCCUGUGUAAGAAAUCCUAUUUGGGUUGAACGAAUGUGAGAAACUGGCCGGGAACAGGUGGCAGCCAAACACUUGUCUAUUAAUGUUCUGUGGGGACCCCAGGAAGAGUAACUGCUGAUUUUGCAACAGCUAAUGGGGAUCCUAAUAAAAUACCAAAUACCACAGCUGGUUGUAGAAGUUGUCCAGAGAGAGAGCCUAAUGUUGCAGAAACUUGGUUCAGGAUCUCUGGAGGUAUUUCACCAUUCCCUGGCCGUUCAAUCAAAUGUCAAAUGUUCUGUUAUAUAAUAAUCCUAAAUUGUAGCCUAUACAUGGACAAUGUACAUGUUUUCAUUUAGAAAUCUACAUCAUGCAUGUUUUUGUUUACAUUUACAAAGCUCAUAUCUCCCUCUGAUUGUAUGAUUAUCUUUUGUGUUAAUGAUUUAAAGUAAAUAUUUCUCAUGACAUUUCACAAA